AUUUCAUUCUCUAUUCCAAAAAAUUAAAAGCAUUAUAUCUUAAAAAACCUAAAAACAUGGUCUCCUCACUCCCGUCUCUCCGUUUCAGUCUCUCAGAUCUGAUGUCUUUCUGGCGGCGGUGCUCUUACCUGUUCUGUGAGAAGGCCUCUAUGAGUCCUAUUUACUUUUGAUCGAUCUUCUGUAGUUUUAAGGUCUUCGUCUGUACUGGAAAGUGAUGGAACUUCUCUCAAUGGUGAUAUGGUGUGGUUGAGCGAUGGUUGGUUUCUGCCUUGUUACCAGUGAGGUCGAGUUCAUCGUAAGGGCGUGAUCUGUCCGCCUGUGUGCGAUGGUGAAUCUAACUGUCUGGUGGGGGUUUGACUCCGGCUCGGUGGUUCCUUGUCCAGAGGCGGCCUCUGCUUCAUCACUUAGUUGGAUUUGUCUUUGAUUGGCGUAUCCUGCAUCAAUGUUGAAGAUCUGGGUGGAGGGACCAGUCGCUUGCCGCAGUUCCAGUUCGACUUGGUCUUCACUUCGGGCUUUUCAUAUUUUUGGCUUCUUUUAGAAAAAGAAUGUUGUCGGCAUUGCAAAACUAUAUUUUAUCUCCUAAAAUGUAGAAGAAAAGUAAGAAGCAGUUCAGGGUGCAAAGACAGAAGAACAUAUCGCAAGAUUUGACCUUGGAGACCGUGGGUUUGUACACUUUAAAUAUUUUGCUGUUUACCAAUUGGAUGCAGGUUUAAGUUAACGGCUUGAACGACGAGAUAUUAUUCCGGUUCUACAUCUGAAUAUUGCUGUAGAAAUCUACGAAGAGGUUUCUGAAGUUUGCUAAGUAAUAUGCAUGUUGUUUUAAAUUGCUUAUGCAGUAUUUUGUUUUUUUUUGGUAUUGGAUGUACAAGUAGUCCAAUACGCAGGCUGAUGUUCUUUUAGUCGGAUUAUUAUAUAUGCCAGUCAUGAGUUUGUUACUCCAAACUUUUAUAGUUUCAUCAACAAUUUCAUACAGAUUUUUUA